rnacentral:rRNA from 1 species
UAAUACCGGCAGCUAGAGUGAUGGCCCGAUCUUAUUGGGCCAAAGCGUCCGUAGCUGGCCCUUGCAAGUCCGUCGGGAAAUCCACCCGCUCAACGGGUGGGGCGUCCGGCGGAAAACUGUGAGGCUUGGGACCGGGAGGGCUGAAAGGGUACGUCCGGGGUAGGAGUGAAAUCCUGUAAUCCUGGACGGACCGCCCGAUGGGGAAACCACUUCAAGAGAACGGAUCCGACAGUGAGGGACGAAAGCUAGGGUCUCGAACCGGAUUAGAUACCCGGGUAGUCCUAGCUGUAAACGAUGCCUGUUAGGUGUGACUCCCACUACGAGUGGGUGUUGUGCCGUAGGGAAGCCGCUAAACAGGCCGCCUGGGAAGUACGUCUGCAAGGAUGAAACUUAAAGGAAUUGGCGGGGGAGCACUACAACCGGAGGAGCCUGCGGUUUAAUUGGACUCAACGCCGGACAUCUCACCAGCAUNGACUGUGGUAAUGACGGUCAGGUUGAUGACCUUACCCGAGCCACAGAGAGGAGGUGCAUGGCCGCCGUCAGCUCGUACCGUGAGGCGUCCUGUUAAGUCAGGCAACGAGCGAGACCCGCAUCCUUACUUGCCAGCAGCACCGCGAGGUGGCUGGGGACAGUAGGGAGACCGCCGUGGCUAACACGGAGGAAGGAACGGGCAACGGUAGGUCAGUAUGCCCCGAAUAUGCUGGGCAACACGCGGGCUACAAUGGUCGAGACAAUGGGUUCCAACGCCGAGAGGCGACGGUAAUCUCAGAAACUCGGUC